AUGCUUAAUCUGGCAGAGCAGAUACCAGGAUCGCAAAGGUGGUUUUUCCUAGGGUGAGGUUUAUCCACUGCAUGCCAUAUGUAAUGACUUCUGAAAUUUCCCCAAAUGUGGGAAACUUGACUGCAUAAUUUGUUGUAUUGGGGACUGCGUUCAUGCUCUCCCUU